rnacentral:miRNA from 1 species
AGGGUGACCCACCGUCCUGGUUUGCCAGGGACUGAGGGUUUUUCAGGACACUGGACAUUCAGAGUCAGACUGGA